GUCUUAAUUGGGCGUUAAGUUGCAGGGUAUAGACCCGAAACCCGGUGAUCUAGCCAUGGGCAGGUUGAAGGUUGGGUAACACUAACUGGAGGACCGAACCGACUAAUGUUGAAAAAUUAGCGGAUGACCUGUGGCUGGGGGUGAAAGGCCAAUCAAACCGGGAGAUAGCUGGUUCUCCCCGAAAGCUAUUUAGGUAGCGCCUCGUGAAUUCAUCUCCGGGGGUAGAGCACUGUUUCGGCUAGGGGGCCAUCCCGGCUUACCAACCCGAUGCAAACUGCGAAUACCGGAGAAUGUUAUCACGGGAGACACACGGCGGGUGCUAACGUCCGUCGUGAAGAGGGAAACAACCCAGACCGCCAGCUAAGGUCCCAAAGUCAUGGUUAAGUGGGAAACGAUGUGGGAAGGCCCAGACAGCCAGGAUGUUGGCUUAGAAGCAGCCAUCAUUUAAAGAAAGCGUAAUAGCUCACUGGUCGAGUCGGCCUGCGCGGAAGAUGUAACGGGGCUAAACCAUGCACCGAAGCUGCGGCAGCGACACUCAGGUGUUGUUGGGUAGGGGAGCGUUCUGUAAGCCUG
rnacentral:rRNA from 1 species